AUUUUGGUGGUACAGUGGUGAUACGCCUUUUUCAUGAGGGUGUAGUGUAGGUUCAAUUCCUAACUAAAAUU